rnacentral:rRNA from 1 species
AGAGUUUGAUCCUGGCUCAGGACGAACGCUGGCGGCGUGCCUCAUACAUGCAAGUGGAGCGACGAACCAGGGCUUGCCCUGGAGCAAAGCCGCGAACGGGUGAGUAACACGUGGGUAACCUGCCCCGAAGACCGGGACAACCCGAGGAAACUCGGGCUAAUACCGGAUGUGCUCGUCGCGCACAAGCGCGACGCGUAAAGGAAGCUUCGGCCUCCGCUUUGGGAGGGGCCCGUGGCCCAUUAGCUUGUUGGUGAGGUAACGGCUCACCAAGGCUGCGAUGGGUAGCUGGUCUAAGAGGACGGUCAGCCACACUGGGACUGAGACACGGCCCAGACUCCUACGGGAGGCAGCAGUAGGGAAUCUUGCGCAAUGCGCGAAAGCGUGACGCAGCAACGCCGCGUGGGGGAAGAAGGCCUUCGGGUUGUAAACCCCUUUCAGGAGGGACGAAGGUGCGGCGGCGAACAGCCGUCCGUACUGACGGUACCUCCAGAGGAAGCCCCGGCUAACUACGUGCCAGCAGCCGCGGUA